rnacentral:rRNA from 1 species
GGCUCAGGACGAACGCUGGCGGCGUGCUUAACACAUGCAAGUCGAACGGUGAAGAGGAGCUUGCUCCUUGGAUCAGUGGCGAACGGGUGAGUAACACGUGAGCAAUCUGCCCUUGACUCUGGGAUAACUGCGGGAAACUGUAGCUAAUACCGGAUAUUACCUUUGGAGGCAUCUCUGGGGGUGGAAAGAAUUUUGGUCAAGGAUGAGCUCGCGGCCUAUCAGCUAGUUGGUGAGGUAAUGGCUCACCAAGGCGACGACGGGUAGCCGGCCUGAGAGGGUGACCGGCCACACUGGGACUGAGACACGGCCCAGACUCCUACGGGAGGCAGCAGUGGGGAAUAUUGCACAAUGGGCGCAAGCCUGAUGCAGCAACGCCGCGUGAGGGACGACGGCCUUCGGGUUGUA